CGUAGGCGGGUCUUUAAGUCAGGGGUGAAAUCCUGGAGCUCAACUCCAGAACUGCCUUUGAUACUGGCGAGCUUCGAGUUCGGGAGAGGUGAGUGGAACUGCGAGUGUAGAGGUGAAAUUCGUAGAUAUUCGCAAGAACACCAGUGGCGAAGGCGGCUCACUGGCCCGGUACUGACGCUGAUGUGCGAAAGCGUGGGGAGCAAACAGGAUUAGAUACCCUGGUA
rnacentral:rRNA from 1 species